UACGUAGGGCGCAAGCGUUGUCCGGAAUUAUUGGGCGUAAAGAGCUCGUAGGCGGUUUGUCGCGUCUGCUGUGAAAUCCCGAGGCUCAACCUCGGGCUUGCAGUGGGUACGGGCAGACUAGAGUGCGGUAGGGGAGACUGGAAUUCCUGGUGUAGCGGUGGAAUGCGCAGAUAUCAGGAGGAACACCGAUGGCGAAGGCAGGUCUCUGGG
rnacentral:rRNA from 1 species